CGCCUUGACCUGCAGGGAAGCUGCUCUGUUUGUACACCUGAGUCCACGCGGGCAGCUGCGCCCUUCCCAGCCUCCAGCCCUGCUCCCCCUGAGGUUCCGGAGACCUCCUCAUUCCCAUCCAAGACUUGUGACUGCUCGUGCCAACGUGUGGCCUUGGGGUGGGAGGACUGGAGACUUAACUAGAGGGAUGUUGCAAUUGCAGGUGGCGAGUGAGGUGAGAAGGGAAGAGGAGAGGUUGCUGGAGAAGCCCCUCUUGGGGGCCCGAACUGCUCCUGUGGGCAGCCCUCUGGAACGAGGGCAGAGGCGGUGGGCCAGACAGAGGACAGAGACCCUGGCCAGGGCUGAGGAGCUGGCUGACCCCAGGGACCUCUGCCUGCAUUAGAGGCCUGGGAGAACGAGGAGGCUGUGUCUACUCCUUACCUGAGCCGGGCACUGCCAAACACUGGGUUUGAGUGGGGCCAAAGGCAGGGCUGGGACUAGAGUGGA
rnacentral:lncRNA from 1 species